UUUUCAAACUUUGUUUAUUCAGUUUGAGAACCAAUAGUGUUGGAAAACGAAAAAGAGAAAGACAACUUUUAACGGUGGAUCUCUUGGCUCACGCAUCGAUGAAGAACGCAGCCAGCUGCGAUAAGUAGUGUGAAUUGCAGAAUUCAGUGAAUCAUCGAAUCUUUGAACGCAAAUGGCGCUCUUGGGUUCUCCCAGGAGCAUGUCUGCCUGAGUGUCGGAUAUCAUCCAACGCACUUGAGUGUGCGGCAUUGAGGCGUCACGGCACACUUAUGCCGCCGUGUCCCUUGAAAAGCAGAGAGACUCGCAUCGUGCGUGGUUCUGCACCCCCAUGCGAAGGCUAAAAAUCCAUUUGGUCCUUGGCUGGGUCAGUGUUCGGAACGCGCGCGGAGUCCCACGACAAAAACAUAACUAUCUGACCUCAGGUCAGCAUGCAGC
rnacentral:rRNA from 1 species